CACGUAGUUAGCCGGUGCUUAUUCUUACGGUACCGUCAUGGACCCUCUUUAUUAGAAAAGGUCUUUUCGUUCCGUACAAAAGCAGUUUACAACCCGAAGGCCUUCAUCCUGCACGCGGCAUGGCUGGAUCAGGCUUGCGCCCAUUGUCCAAAAUUCCCCACUGCUGCCUCCCGUAGGAGUCUGGGCCGUGUCUCAGUCCCAGUGUGGCUGGUCGUCCUCUCAGACCAGCUACAGAUCGAAGGCUUGGUGAGCCUUUACCCCACCAACUACCUAAUCUGCCAUCGGCCGCUCCGUCCGCGCGAGGUCUUGCGAUCCCCCGCUUUCAUCCGUAGAUCGUAUGCGGUAUUAGCACAGCUUUCGCUGCGUUAUCCCCCACGAUCGGGCACGUUCCGAUGUAUUACUCACCCGUUCGCCACUCGUCAGCAUCCGAAGACCUGUUACCGUUCGACUUGCAUGUGUAAGGCAUGCCGCCAGCGUUCAAUCUGAGCCAGGAUCAAACU
rnacentral:rRNA from 1 species